UUAUAAAAGGAACAAAAUAUAUCGUUUAAUGGUAGAUGUUAAAUUCAUUCAUUUUCAUCUUUUUCAUUGACACAUAUUUUUAGGGCUAUGAUUUUUCCCCUCAGUGCUGCUUUAGUUGUGUUACCAGAGAAAGUUUUCUAAACUUUUCUGAAGAUUCAAUUGGGAGUACUUGCUAAAUACAAAUUUCUUGACCCAAUCUCAGACCCUCUGAAUUGGAAUCUCCAGGGAAAGGGCAUGAGCCAUAGAUUUCUUAACAAGUAUCACAAGUGAGUUCCUAUAAUUCAAGGAGUUUGAGAAACACUGCCAUAGCAUGUGAUAUUACAAACGUUUUUAUUUGCUAUUUUCUAGAUAAUCUGCAAUUCAUCUUUGACUAUUUUUAGAACACAGAAUCAUUUUUUGGGAACUACUUUUUUCCUUCUCAGAGACACUUGGAAAGAAGAUCUUUAUGAAGUUGGAUAAUAUUACACCUGGAUUUUCAUUUGACAGGUUGUGUUUACCUGUCGAACCCCAGUAUGAGAAACGUGUACAAAAGGGACAGACUGUAACAUAAAAAGAAUUGACUGACUAGAUCUGGUUCACAUCUGAAAAUGGUUAUGGUCCCACGGAAAGCUUCACCUGUCUGUCUGAAUGCAGGAUGGUUG